rnacentral:rRNA from 1 species
AGUGGCGAACGGGUGAGUAACGCGUGGGUAAUCUGCCCAUAAGAGGGGGACAACAGUUGGAAACGACUGCUAAUACCGCAUAAGCUGCGCAAGCAGUAAAGGAGGCCUCUUGAUAAAGCUUCCGCUUAUGGAUGAGCCCGCGUCUGAUUAGCUAGUUGGUGGGGUAAAAGCCUACCAAGGCGAUGAUCAGUAGCCGGCCUGAGAGGGUGAACGGCCACACUGGAACUGAGACACGGUCCAGACUCCUACGGGAGGCAGCAGUGAGGAAUAUUGGUCAAUGGACGCAAGUCUGAACCAGCCAUGUCGCGUGCAGGAUGACUGCCCUAUGGGUUGUAAACUGCUUUUAUAUUGGAAGAAUUGCGCUUACGAGUUAAGCGUUUGACGGUACAUUAUGAAUAAGGAUCGGCUAACUCCGUGCCAGCAGCCGCGGUAAUACGGAGGAUCCGAGCGUUAUCCGGAUUUAUUGGGUUUAAAGGGUGCGUAGGCGGAAAUGUAAGUCAGUGGUGAAAUCCUGCAGCUUAACUGUAGAAUAGCCGUUGAAACUGUGUUUCUUGAGUACAUUUGAGGUAGGCGGAAUGUGGUGUGUAGCGGUGAAAUGCAUAGAUAUACCACAGAACACCGAUUGCGAAGGCAGCUUACUAAACUGUCACUGACGCUGAUGCACGAAAGCGUGGGUAUCAAAGAGGAUUAGAUACCCUGGUAGUCCACGCUGUAAACGAUGAUUACUGGUUGUUUGCGAUACACUGCAAGUGACUGAGCGAAAGCAUUAAGUAAUCCACCUGGGGAGUACGUCGGCAACGAUGAAACUCAAAGAAAUGACGGGGGGCCCGCACAAGCGGAGGGAACAUGUGGUUAAAUUCGAUGAUACGCGAGGAACCUUACCUGGGUUUAAAUGGGGAGUGACAGGCUUGGAAACAGGCCCUUCUUCGGACACUCUUCAAGGUGCUGCAUGGUUGUCGUCAGCUCGUGCCGUGAGGUGUCGGGUUAAGUCCCAUAACGAGCGCAACCCCUAUCGAUAGUUACCAGCACGUUACGGUGGGGACUCUAUCGAGACUGCCGGUGUAAACCGUGAGGAGGGUGGGGAUGACGUCAAAUCAGCACGGCCCUUACAUCCAGGGCUACACACGUGUUACAAUGGCCGGUACAAAGGGCAGCUACACAGCGAUGUGAUGCUAAUCUCCAAAUCCGGUCUCAGUUCGGAUCGAAGUCUGCAACCCGACUUCGUGAAGCUGGAUUCGCUAGUAAUCGCGCAUCAGCCAUGGCGCGGUGAAUACGUUCCCGGGCCUUGUACACACCGCCCGUCAAG